rfam:Danio rerio chromosome 4, GRCz11 reference primary assembly.
GGCUCUGUGGCGCAAUGGAUAGUGCAUUGGACUUCUAGGCUGUGAGCUGAGCCAUUCAAAGGUUGUGGGUUCAAGUCCCACCUGAUUCG